GUUUCUUCUGUGUAACCUAGAGGGCACCGCUAAGCGGGAUGGAACCUGUGACCUCUAGGGACCUCACUGGGGAUGGGGCCUAUGACCUUCAAGCCCACCCCUGGGUUGGGACCUGUGACCUCGUGGGAGACCCACUUCAAAAGGCAGGAGUCGUGAUCAGAUGACCGAUCCCACAAAGUGGGAAAAGAGCUUACAUCCACAGCAGCUCUUCAGGAAGAUGUCAUGGCUACCUUGUUAGCUGCAAGGAGGAGCAUCAUAGACGUUCCAGUUCCUAACAACUACUACUUCCUGUGUCUCUGGCCCAGCAUGUAGCAGAAGGCUAUCUGCUGUUCCUUGGUGUUUCAGCAGCAGUGAUCCCAGGAUGCCAGAGCUGAAUCCCUUCUGUAGCUACUAGGCUAGUCUGUGGUGCCUGUGCAGUAUGACAUGGAUACUGAAAAUGAGAAGUAAGGCCUGGCUGACCUGACCAUGUUGACACCUAGUGAGAAGUGAAGCAGAAUUUGUACCUUAAUUGAGCAGAUUUGAAGCCUCGUGUACUUCUAUUUUUUUUUUUUUCCUCAUGUACUUCUAAAAGGAAUCAGCAGUAUCUUGUUCUUGGCCUGGGCUAUGUGUCUGAGAGAGUUUUCUGGGUCCAGGUUUGGGCCCCAUUUUUUUCUGCCUCCAGAAUAAGCCUGGCUGAAGGGCUUCAGGCCCUUCUGGCAUCUCCCAAAUGAAAAAUGAGAUAUUUAAUAAACAUGGUUUUAAAUGUGUGAUUCA